rnacentral:rRNA from 1 species
AACGCGAAGAACCUUACCUGGGUUGAACUACGUGGGAAAAGCCGCAGAGAUGCGGUGUCCUUCGGGGUCCACGAUAGGUGGUGCAUGGCUGUCGUCAGCUCGUGUCGUGAGAUGUUGGGUUAAGUCCCGCAACGAGCGCAACCCUUGUCUCUAUGUUGCCAGCGGGUAAAGCCGGGGACUCGUAGGAGACUGCCGGGGUCAACUCGGAGGAAGGUGGGGACGACGUCAAGUCAUCAUGCCCCUUAUGUCCAGGGCUGCAAACAUGCUACAAUGGCCGGUACAAAGGGCAGCUAAACCGCGAGGUCGAGCGAAUCCCAAAAAGCCGGUCUCAGUUCGGAUUGAAGUCUGCAACUCGACUUCAUGAAGCUGGAGUCGCUAGUAAUCCCGGAUCAGCAACGCCGGGGUGAAUACGUUCCCGGGUCUUGUACACACCG